rnacentral:rRNA from 1 species
UAGUCCACGCCGUAAACGAUGUGCACUAGAGGUUGCGGGUAUUGACCCCUGCAGUCUCAAAGCUAACGCAUUAAGUGCACCGCCUGGGGAGUACGGUCGCAAGAUUAAAACUCAAAGGAAUUGACGGGGGCCCGCACAAGCGGUGGAUUAUGUGGUUUAAUUCGAAGCAACGCGCAGAACCUUACCUAGACUUGAAAUCCUGAGAACUUUUUAGAAAUAAGUUGGUGCCCUUCGGGGAACUCAGUGACAGGUGCUGCAUGGCUGUCGUCAGCUCGUGUUGUGAAAUGUUGGGUUAAGUCUCGCAACGAGCGCAACCCCUAUCGUCUGUUGCCAGCAUUAAGUUGGGCACUCUGACGAGACUGCCCGGGUUAACCGGGAGGAAGGUGGGGAUGACGUCAAGUCCUCAUGGCCCUUAUGUCUAGGGCUACACACGUAAUACAAUGGUGCAUACAAUGAGAAGCGAACUCGCGAGGGGAAGCAAAUCUCAAAAAGUGCAUCUCAGUCCGGAUUGG